GCUGGCGGCACGCCUAAUACAUGCAAGUCGAACGGAGUAGCAAUACUUAGUGGCAGACGGGUGAGUAACAUGUGGGUAUCUUCCCUUUGGUGAGGAAUAACACGAGGAAACUUGUGCUAAUACCUCAUAAGUCUUUACGGAGAAAGCUUUAUGCGCCAAUGGAUGAGCCCGCACUUGAUUAGUUUGUUGGUAGGGUAAUGGCCUACCAAGACUGUGAUCAAUAGCUGAUUUGAGAGGAUGAUCAGCCACAUUGGGACUGAGACACGGCCCAAACUCCUACGGGAGGCAGCAGUAGGGAAUCUUGCACAAUGGAGGAAACUCUGAUGCAGCGAUGCCGCGUGAGUGAAGAAGGCCCUUGGGUUGUAAAGCUCUUUCGUCGGGGAAGAAAAUGACUGUACCCGAAUAAGAAGGUCCGGCUAACUUCGUGCCAGCAGCCGCGGUAAUACGAAGGGACCUAGCGUAGUUCGGAAUUACUGGGCUUAAAGAGUUCGUAGGUGGUUAAAAAAGUUGGUGGUGAAAGCCCAGAGCUUAACUCUGGAACUGCCAUCAAAACUUUUUAGCUAGAGUUUGAUAGAGGAAAGCAGAAUUUCUAGUGUAGAGGUGAAAUUCGUAGAUAUUAGAAAGAAUACCGAUUGCGAAGGCAGCUUUCUGGAUCAUUACUGACACUGAGGAACGAAAGCAUGGGUAGCGAAGAGGAUUAGAUACCCUCGUAGUCCAUGCCGUAAACGAUGUGUGUUAGAUGUUGGAAAUUUAUUUUCAGUAUCACAGCGAAAGCAAUAAACACACCGCCUGGGGAGU
rnacentral:rRNA from 1 species